rnacentral:rRNA from 1 species
GCACUGUUUCGGCUAGGGGGCCAUCCCGGCUUACCAACCCGAUGCAAACUGCGAAUACCGGAGAAUGUUAUCACGGGAGACACACGGCGGGUGCUAACGUCCGUCGUGAAGAGGGAAACAACCCAGACCGCCAGCUAAGGUCCCAAAGUCAUGGUUAAGUGGGAAACGAUGUGGGAAGGCCCAGACAGCCAGGAUGUUGGCUUAGAAGCAGCCAUCAUUUAAAGAAAGCGUAAUAGCUCACUGGUCGAGUCGGCCUGCGCGGAAGAUGUAACGGGGCUAAACCAUGCACCGAAGCUGCGGCAGCGACGCUUAUGCGUUGUUGGGUAGGGGAGCGUUCUGUAAGCCUGCGAAGGUGGCCUGUGAGGGUUGCUGGAGGUAUCAGAAGUGCGAAUGCUGACAUAAGUAACGAUAAAGCGGGUGAAAAGCCCGCUCGCCGGAAGACCAAGGGUUCCUGUCCAACGUUAAUCGGGGCAGGGUGAGUCGACCCCUAAGGCGAGGCCGAAAGGCGUAGUCGAUGGGAAACGGGUUAAUAUUCCCGUACUUGGUGUUACUGCGAAGGGGGGACGGAGAAGGCUAUGUUGGCCGGGCGACGGUUGUCCCGGUUUAAGCGUGUAGGUGUGUGUUCCAGGUAAAUCCGGUUCACUUUAACACUGAGGCGUGACGACGAGGCACUACGGUGCUGAAGCAACAAAUGCCCUGCUUCCAGGAAAAGCCUCUAAGCAUCAGGUAACAUCAAAUCGUACCCCAAACCGACACAGGUGGUCAGGUAGAGAAUACCAAGGCGCUUGAGAGAACUCGGGUGAAGGAACUAGGCAAAAUGGUGCCGUAACU